rnacentral:rRNA from 1 species
UACGGAGGGGGCUAGCGUUGUUCGGAAUUACUGGGCGUAAAGCGCACGUAGGCGGAUGCUUAAGUCAGGGGUGAAAUCCCGGGGCUCAACCCCGGAACUGCCUUUGAUACUGGGUGUCUGGAGGUCGAGAGAGGCGAGUGGAAUUCCGAGUGUAGAGGUGAAAUUCGUAGAUAUUCGGAGGAACACCAGUGGCGAAGGCGGCUCGCUGGCUCGAUACUGACGCUGAGGUGCGAAAGCGUGGGGAGCAAACAGG